AGUUGCGAACGGGUGAGUAACGCGUAGGUAACCUGCCUGGUAGCGGGGGAUAACUAUUGGAAACGAUAGCUAAUACCGCAUAAGAACAUUUACUGCAUGGUAGAUGUUUAAAAGGUGCAAGAGCAUCACUACCAGAUGGACCUGCGUUGUAUUAGCUAGUUGGUGAGGUAACGGCUCACCAAGGCAACGAUACAUAGCCGACCUGAGAGGGUGAUCGGCCACACUGGGACUGAGACACGGCCCAGACUCC
rnacentral:rRNA from 1 species